GUUCCCAUAUCGCAGCAAUACCUAAUAAAAAAUUAAAUAACCAAAGUAAGAAUGCUUCAAGAUAGUAAAUGUGCAAUGCAACAAAAGCAAACCAUACCAUUCUACAUGCAGAUGCCACAAAUCUUUUUGGAUGCAUGUUCUAUCAAUUAUUAUCUUGAUGAAGUUUAAGCCAUGCAAGAUUUAUGUAGCUCAUGCAUCCCACUAUACUCUGCAUGACAAAGUAUCUCUGAAUGUGUUUAUUCAAGCAGCUGAGUUACUCUG
rnacentral:misc_RNA from 1 species